ACCGCAGCAAAUAGAAUAGCAGAGUGUUUUGUCUAUAAAUUCAAAAAUUCAGAAUAAUAUUCUUGAAUUGACAAAUUACCUUGUUUGUAGUUGGCUAACUCUAGCUCCAAAUGAAAACGUUGACCGUAUUGUCUUGGUUAUAGAUAUGCUUCAAAUAGUUCCACAUUUCUUGAGCAGUUGAAAAAGAGCGCAAAUUAUUGAUCAUAUGAGGAUCAAUAGUAUUGAGAAUCCAAGAAAUAAUCUGAGCAUCUUUGAUUUCCCACGCAUCUAAGGCAGUUUUCUCUAUCGGUGCCUUCGAAACCCCAUCAAGAUUCAGACUAAAUUGAAAAAGCUCCGUAAACAAGCAGCAGCAGAGAAACAGGGCAGCAAUACAGAAACAGAGCAGGAGCAGCAGUACAGAAACAGAGCAGGAGCAGCAACGCAGAAACAGAGCAGGAGCAGCAACGCAGAAACAGAGCAGGAGCAGCAACGCAGAAACAGAGCAGGAGCAGCAACGCAGAAACAGAGCAUCAGCAGAGAGACAUGCUCACAACGAGAGGCAGACGGAAUCACGAUGACAAUCGACCAA